GACGAACGCUGGCGGCGUGCUUAACACAUGCAAGUCGAGCGGUAAGGCCCUUUCGGGGGUACACGAGCGGCGAACGGGUGAGUAACACGUGGGUGACCUGCCCUCAGCUCUGGGAUAAGCCUGGGAAACCGGGUCUAAUACUGGAUAUGACUCCAUGACGCAUGUUGUGGGGUGGAAAGCCUUGUGCGGCUGAGGAUGGGCCCGCGGCCUAUCAGCUUGUUGGUGGGGUGANGGCCUACCAAGGCGACGGCGGGUAGCCGGCCUGAGAGGGCGACCGGCCACACUGGGACUGAGACACGGCCCAGACUCCUACGGGAGGCAGCAGUGGGGAAUCUUGCGCAAUGGGCGAAAGCCUGACGCAGCGACGCCGCGUGAGGGAUGACGGCCU
rnacentral:rRNA from 1 species